AGUUCCUUCUUUCUCCACUCUCUCCCCUCCCAGAUGAGUCGCAGAGAGGACAACAUUAGGGAGAGGCUCUUGGAGAGAAUGACAUCAUCGACUUCAGGCUACUUGCGUCAGGCUCUUUGUCUUCUGGUGAUCAGUAAAACACAGAAGUUGAUUCUUAGGACUGACAUCCGGUGCAAGAGACAGAGAACAGAAAAAAGAAACACAAGAACAAACAUGCAAACGAAAUUAACAGGAAGCUAUGCACUAAAUGGACAGGCAACUUUAGGACUUGAGACAUAGAAGGCACCUGAAGACACGAGAAUCGUCAAGGUUCAAACAGGGAGAAGAGUCAAGAGAGUUUGUCAUUUUGAGACUGAAUGCAACCCUGUGACAUCACUAGUAAGAGUCAAAAUUCCUGUCACAUCUGGUCUCGAGGAUGAAACAGGAGUGUCGUGUUCACCCUGACGUCUCACUCACUGCGGUCUUCUGGGUAGACACUGCACGGCUGGGAUCCCAACCUGUGAGAAGCUGAGACAGAGGUGGCUCAGUCUACCCAUAUCGUGACCACCCUGAGGACUGUUCAAAGCCAAGGGUCUGUGGCCUGGGAUGUUUGGGGAAGUAUGAUCCACAUCCUAGAUGGGACACCAAAGGGACUCAGAGAAUUCACCCAAAGGUGAGAGAGCUGGCACGGCAGUGUAGGAGCAGGAGGGGGCAAGAGGAGGAAAUGGUGUGCUCAGAGCACAGAGGAAACGAGGCAGCCAAGGAGGUGGAUGGGUUAAGAGAGGUUGCCUAUCCCUCCUAGGCUCCGGGAACGAAUUAGCAUAGAUCAAUGCCUGCCUAGAGCCUCGAGCUGAAUCCACUAUAGAAUGUGAGGGGGUAUGUAUGAAGAGUGUGUGCUUGAAGGACACAGGGACCAAACUUCCCCUCUCUUCAUCUUAAGAAACCAGGCGCACAGAUGGAGCUGGGAAACAGGACAGGGUUUACCAGAAUCCCCAAUUCUGUUUGCCUAGGGGUUCUCUGAAGAUUCUUGGACCCUGGGAGGUGGCUAACCCCUUUAACUCCAAACCUACCUGUGCCCACUGUUUGUCCACCAGUGUGAGUUGGAGGAUAUGUAUUUUUUCACAUUCCUGUGCUUAAAUCAAAGCACACUGUAAAAAUAUGCCCACGUUGAGUGUGGUAGAAACACGUUUAUAAUCUCAGUUCUCUGGAGGCUAAGGUAGGAGCUCAAGGGUGACCCAAGUUCCAAGGCCAACCUGAGUUGUACUGGGAGACCCUAUCUCAAAACAAACAUGAAGGAGCAAUAACAAAACCUCUCAU